GAUGAACGCUGGCGGCGUGCCUAAUACAUGCCAGUCGAGCGAACGGACGAGAAGCUUGCUUUUCUGAUGUUAGCGGCGGACGGGUGAGUAACACGUGGAUAACCUACCUAUAAGACUGGGAUAACUUCGGGAAACCGGAGCUAAUACCGGAUAAUAUUUUGAACCGCAUGGUUCAAAAGUGAAAGACGGUCUUGCUGUCACUUAUAGAUGGAUCCGCGCUGCAUUAGCUAGUUGGUAAGGUAACGGCUUACCAAGGCAACGAUGCAUAGCCGACCUGAGAGGGUGAUCGGCCACACUGGAACUGAGACACGGUCCAGACUCCUACGGGAGGCAGCAGUAGGGAAUCUUCCGCAAUGGGCGAAAGCCUGACGGAGCAACGCCGCGUGAGUGAUGAAGGUCUUCGGAUCGUAAAACUCUGUUAUCAGGGAAGAACAUAUGUGUAAGUAACUGUGCACAUCUUGACGGUACCUAAUCAGAAAGCCACGGCUAACUACGUG
rnacentral:rRNA from 1 species